rnacentral:rRNA from 1 species
UACAGAGGGUGCAAGCGUUAAUCGGAAUUACUGGGCGUAAAGCGCGCGUAGGUGGUUUGUUAAGUUGGAUGUGAAAGCCCCGGGCUCAACCUGGGAACUGCAUCCAAAACUGGCAAGCUAGAGUACGGUAGAGGGUGGUGGAAUUUCCUGUGUAGCGGUGAAAUGCGUAGAUAUAGGAAGGAACACCAGUGGCGAAGGUGACCACCUGGACUGAUACUGACACUGAGGUGCGAAAGCGUGGGGAGCAAACAGG